UGCAUAUCCAAAAAGCGGAGGAAAAGAAACUAACAAGGAUUCCCCUAGUAACUGCGAGUGAAGCGGGAAAAGCUCAAAUUUAAAAUCUGGUGGUCUUUGGCCAUCCGAGUUGUAAUCUAGAGAAGUGUUAUCCGCGCUGGACCGUGUACAAGUCCCCUGGAAUGGGGCGUCAUAGAGGGUGAGAAUCCCGUCUUUGACACGGACUACCAGGGCUUUGUGAUGCACUCUCAAAGAGUCGAGUUGUUUGGGAAUGCAGCUCAAAAUGGGUGGUAAAUUCCAUCUAAAGCUAAAUAUUGGCGAGAGACCGAUAGCGAACAAGUACCGUGAGGGAAAGAUGAAAAGAACUUUGGAAAGAGAGUUAAACAGUACGUGAAAUUGUUGAAAGGGAAACGCUUGAAGUCAGUCGCGUCUGCCAGGGAUCAACCUUACUUUUGUGAGGCGUACUUCCUGGUUGAUGGGUCAGCAUCAGUUUUGGUCGCUGGAUAAAGGUCAGAGAAAUGUGGCACCUUCGGGUGUGUUAUAGUCUUUGAUCAGAUACAGUGGCUGGGACUGAGGAACUCAGCGCCGCAAGGCUGUCUUAGGAUGCUGGCAAAAUGGCUUUAAUCGACCCGUCUUGAAACACGGCCAAAAGGAGUCA
rnacentral:rRNA from 1 species